CGCGUACACCGCCCCCGCGCCCGAAACCAGCCACCGCGUCACCCCCGCCCCCGGAUCCGGCCGCCGCGCCGCCUCCUCCCCCCGGAUCCGGCCUCCACGACGCCUCCUCCCCCGGAUCCAGUCCCACCGCCACCUAUUGCCACCACAUGUCACCGCCAUGCCAGAUCCCGCCGCCUGGCCGUCCGCUCGGCCGCCCUCCACCGCCGUCCGUCAGGCCGCGUACACCUUCCCUGCAACCCCUACACUGCCGCUCCCCGCUACCCCUAGAUCUCGAUGUGCCUUCCCCCGCUACCCCUAGCGCCACCGCCCUGACACUACCUCCAGCGACGCCGCCGCCCCAACCUCUGGCACUGCUGCCACCCCAACCUCUGGCAUUGCUGCCGCCCCAACAUCCGGCGCCAUCUCUCCCCCACCCCAAACUCCCUCCCCUUGAAUCCACAACGGCAGCGGACUCCCUCGGGUCCACGGCGGCGGCGGCGGACAACCUCCCCCUGGAUCGACCUUGGCGACGCCCUCCCUCCCGAGCUCUGCUGGCAAACAACGAGCCAUCAACCUCCCCCGAGCACCUCCCUUCCUUUGCUCCAACCGGGCCACCGCUGCUGCACCACCCGCCCCAAACACUGUAGCUCCUCCUCCAUGAAUACAUCAUGGGCGGCCACCUGCUUAACGACGGCGCCAACCUAACUCUGACCAUGGUGACGGUCGACAGAUGCCAAUGUUGCAAGCUGUCUUCUUUGGCCGGAAGAUGCUUUAGUUUAGCAGCAUCAACAACGCAAAAAGAGAGAGGAAGAAAAAUGGAUGUCAGGCUCAUCUCUGGAGUGUUUGCAAUCCUUUUCAUGCCAGGUGUUUGUGCAAAUGAACCAGCAUGCUCAUGCAUGCCUAUGGAAGUUGAAAGGAAACAAAUGUUCCAGGAUCACUAUCAGCAUAUAUUUUCUAAAUGUCAACCUAGAGAAAACGCAGUGACUGUUUGUGUAUAUGUCUCAAACAAAAAACUGUCUUUUUUGUAACAUUUUACCGUCUUGUUGCAUCCUCUCUCUUUGGUUACAGGAGAAGUUCAUAUACAGCGACAACAGCAAAGUUUCAUGUCAGAAAAAUUGAAGACCAUCUAUAUGGAAGUUGAUAAUUGUUGUGUGUAUGCAGGGGAGCACAAAAAAACUUGUAGCUGAUAAAUUUUCCUUUUGUUUAGAUGCAACAAUCCUUCUUGAUGCCUGCUCUUUUUUAAGUGAUUAAAUGAUGCUUGUUUAUGGUUCAUUUGGUGCUGGAUGUUGGAAAUAUAUUACAGUGCGCGAAUGUGAAGUUCCAUUUGAAAUAACCGAGCAGUCUGAUGAGUAUAAAAACCUUGUAUUUCCCUGUUUCUCAAAAGUGAUGGUUUACGGGAUCCAAA